AGGCAGCAGUAGGGAAUCUUCGGCAAUGGUGGCAACCCUGACCGAGCAACGCCGCGUGAGUGAAGAAGGUUUUCGGAUCGUAAAGCUCUGUUGUAAGUCAAGAACGGGUGUGAGAGUGGAAAGUUCACACUGUGACGGUAGCUUACCAGAAAGGGACGGCUAACUACGUGCCAGCAG
rnacentral:rRNA from 1 species